rnacentral:rRNA from 2 species
AAACCAACUGGGAUUACCUUAGUAACGGCGAGUGAAGCGGUAAAAGCUCAAAUUUGAAAUCUGGUACUUUCAGUGCCCGAGUUGUAAUUUGUAGAAUUUGUCUUUGAUUAGGUCCUUGUCUAUGUUCCUUGGAACAGGACGUCAUAGAGGGUGAGAAUCCCGUUUGGCGAGGAUACCUUUUCUCUGUAAGACUUUUUCGAAGAGUCGAGUUGUUUGGGAAUGCAGCUCAAAGUGGGUGGUAAAUUCCAUCUAAAGCUAAAUAUUGGCGAGAGACCGAUAGCGAACAAGUACAGUGAUGGAAAGAUGAAAAGAACUUUGAAAAGAGAGUGAAAAAGUACGUGAAAUUGUUGAAAGGGAAGGGCAUUUGAUCAGACAUGGUGUUUUUUUAAUGUGCAAGUCUCUCGUGGACAUGUGCCUCUGGAAAUUAACACUGGGCCAACAUCAGUUCUGGCGGCAGGAUAAAUCAUUAAGAAUGUAGCUACCUCGGUAGUGUUAUAGCUUUUUGGAAUACUGCCAGCUGGGAUUGAGGACUGCGCUUCGGCAAGGAUGUUGGCAUAAUGGUUAAAUGCCG